CUGCCGUUCUGGAUUCUGCAACGAUUCUCAUCAUCGUUAGAAGCCCUUCAGCCUCUCCUUUGUGUUGUCGCCGUCAGACAAACACAGUCGGUCUUCGGUAAGUCCCUCCCGGACGGUGACAAUGAAAGAGUUGGUUUUGUGGAGUGAAGAGGAGACCACCCCAGCCCAGCCAGGCUGGUGGGAGCUGGACCUCAGGCAGGCGUGGAGUCUCCUCCUCCAGGAUGCCAUCACCGUGGGACGUUCGCGGUGGGAGGUGGGGCCCACCCUUCAAGACAGAAAGGGAUGAGGGCUGAAGCGCACUUCUUACUGGAUGUUGAGAGCCAGGUUCAUCACAGCAGGAGCAUCCUCUCAGACUGAGUUCGCACUGAACACAAAGCCAGCAAGUACCACUCACCACAUCUGUGAGCUGAGCGCCCUUAUUUCUUAAUUAACACCUCUCACUGCCCAAACCUCCCCCUGCCCUCCCCGGAACAGAAUCCCACAUCACAUCGAAGUGAUAGGCAUUCAGAGGAAGAACAGAAUCACUUAACUGGGUCUUAUUAUCAAGAGAAAGAAAAAAAAUUCUCUGUUAAAUAACCCUGUAAAUGUCUUAACUGUAUUUUGUAAACAAAACGCUUUCACCUCAUUACUCCACAAGAUACCCUGAAAGUUUCACAUGACAGGAAGGGUAUUCUCAGAGGAAACACUGAGAAAAGUCUCUCAUAGGUGCCAGCAAGUGCACAAAAACGGAAAUGACAUGUUUUCUUGGUGGAGAAAACCUCUUGGGGCAAAACAUUGCCUAAAAUUGUAAUUUGCUAACUGCAGUAACGCCUGACUUACCCGGAAAACAGGUGAGGGACAGACCGAGGACGUGUUUUCAGAUAACGUAACUUCUGCUGAUUUCUUCAAGAGCUAUAUUCACUCCCUCGAAAUUUGCAUUUAUCGAUUCUUGCUUCCUAAUGAA